AACACGGGCCGCCUCAUCAGACUCAGGUUCCUAUGCAUGUGAAAGUGGAAAGAAGGACAUGGAGAUUUUCAGAGGCACCUGGCAAGGAUGGGGGGGGGGGGGCUUGGAAAAUGAUCAGAAAGAAAGGAAUCUGGAGUUUAGCCAGGACCCAUGGGAGAGGAAUUUGUGUGGGUGCUUGGAGCCAACAUCCAGGAAAGAGAAGACCAACACAAGUGAGCAGGGUUGGAAAACCACAGCCGGAUUUAAAACCAAAAAGAAUUUUUAUACAAUUUUAGGGAAGUCAGCGCUUCAUUUGCAAGGAACGAGACCCCUGUGUGAGACUGUGUGCAGCCGUAGCCCUGGAAUGAGAGGUGUGACAGCUGGAAGCCCCCCACCCCAUCCCAGCCUUGGUGUCCUGCGCGGCUGGCCUCAGACAAAUGCCAACAUCGUCAGGCCUUGGGAUAAACCCUAAUUUUUUUUCUUCCUCUAAUAUGGAAAUCUAAUUUGGCAAAAAGAACAUUGGAAAGGAUUCAGCAGCCUCGACGUGCUGUGCUCUGCUUUCCCAUCCAUCCUGAGAGUUAUCUGUGAAGACCAAAUACGGCAGAAAGAUAUGCCUUGGAGAGAAACAAGAUUGAGAGCCAGGAGCAGUGGCAUGCAUUAGCCAUAUUUGUGGUAGAUUCCCAGGAUUCUGUUGGAAACAGACAAACCACCUCUUCUUCUCUCUGCUUGAGAUUCUAGCACAAAUGAAGCACAAGCACAGAGUGCUGGCACGCUCUGGAUGCGACUCUCCAGGGAACAAAGAAAGAUGGACCUGGGCUGAUGUGACUUUUAUCUGAAUACUCACCUCAUUAUUGCUCUCAAAUAUGGGUUCUAGCAUGUCCAUGGUUCUGUCAAGGAUGUGCAGAAGCCCAUUGGAAGCAAUGAUGUCUCCCUGUAUAAUUUUUACCUUCGUUUUGCCUCCAUAGAGUUUAAGCUUUAUUUGAUUGUCCUAAAACACCAAAGAAAGAUAAAAUAAGAUUAGUAUGGUGUCCUGGAAGGAGCAAGCACAGGAGUAGAGUCAGAAGUCUUGAGUCCUUGGGCUUUGAUAUUUAUUGGCAAUGUGAUUUUGGUUAAGUCACUUAAUCUAAAGUGGGGAUGAAGGUAUCUGCUUGGUUAACCUCACAGGGUUUUCAUUAAGAUCAAAUGAUAUCAUAUAUGUAAUCACUGACAACUAUACAUGCUAAACCUGGGUAAGGUAUUACCAAGCUCUUCUCCAGCAGACUGCAAGCUUCAUGAGGAAAACUAUUUAAUUUACUAUAAAUUCAUCACCCGCCUUAGUGUCUUGCACAGAGAAGGCACACAAUAAAAGUAUUUGUGGAAUAAAUAA